GAUGAACGCUGGCGGCGUGCCUAAUACAUGCAAGUCGAGCGAACAGAUGAGGAGCUUGCUCCUCUGACGUUAGCGGCGGACGGGUGAGUAACACGUGGAUAACCUACCUAUAAGACUGGGAUAACUUCGGGAAACCGGAGCUAAUACCGGAUAAUAUAUUGAACCGCAUGGUUCAAUAGUGAAAGACGGUUUUGCUGCCACUUAUAGAUGGUUCCGCGCCGCAUUAGCUAGUUGGUAAGGUAACGGGUUACCAAGGCAACGAUGCGUAGCCGACCUGUGAGGGUGUACGGCCGCACGGGAACUGGGACACGGUCCAGACUCCUACGGGAGGCAGCAGUAGGGAAUCUUCCACAAUGGGCGAAAGCCUGGCAGAGCAACGCCGCGUGAGUGAUGAAAGUCUUCGGAUCGUAAAACUCUGUUAUUAGGGAAGAACAAAUGUGUACGUAACUAUGCACGUCUUGACGGUACCUAGUCAGAAAGCCACGGCUAACUACGUG
rnacentral:rRNA from 1 species